rnacentral:rRNA from 1 species
AACGAACGCUGGCGGCAUGCCUAACACAUGCAAGUCGAACGACACCUUCGGGUCUAGUGGCUCACGGGUGCGUAACGCGUGGGAACGUGCCCUUAGGUUCGGAAUAACUCCCUGAAAGGGGUGCUAAUACCGGAUAAUUUCUUCGGACCAAAGAUUUAUCGCCUUUGGAUGGGCCCGCGUUGGAUUAGCUGGUGGGUAGGGUAAAAGCCUACCAAGGCGACGAUACAUAGCUGGGCUGAGAGGAUGAUCAGCCACACUGGGACUGAGACACGGCCCAGACUCCUACGGGAGGCAGCAGUGGGGAAUAUUGCACAAUGGGCGAAAGCCUGAUGCAGCAAUGCCGCGUGAGUGAUGAAGGCCUUAGGGUUGUAAAGCUCUUUUACCCGGGAUGAUAAUGACGGUACCCGGAGAAUAAGCUCCGGCUAACUCCGUG